AUUGAACGCUGGCGGCAGGCCUAAUACAUGCAAGUCGAGCGGACGAGCGGAGCGCGCUCUAUGCUUCAGUUACGGACGGGCGGGUAAUGCAUAGGUAUCUGCCCGGCCUAUGGGGACAACGUAUCGUCAGGAACCCUAAUACCGUACACGUCCUUCGAGUGAAAGGGGUGGAUCAUUGGACCUCACGCUAUCAGAUGUGCCUUAGACGGAUUAGCUAGUUGGAGAGGUAAAGGCUUACCAAGGCGACGAUCCGUAACUGGUCUGAGAGGAUGAUCAGUCACACUGGAACUGAGACACGGUCCAGACUCCUACGGGAGGCAGCAGUAGGGAAUAUUGGACAAUGGGCGAAAGCCUGAUCCAGCAAUGCCGCGUGUGUGAAGAAGGUCUUCGGAUUGUAAAGCACUUUAAGUUGGGAGGAAGGGCAGUAAGUUAAUACCUUGCUGUUUUGACGUUACCAACAGAAUAAGCACCGGCUAACUUCGUG
rnacentral:rRNA from 1 species